GGGGGGUGGAGGGCAGCCUGGUAGGCACCACAUGGUUCCCGAGAAAUCCGCCACAGUUUGGGAAAUACAGAAAAACAGGAAAUGCUCUGGGCAAAUAUCAAAAUGAGAUUUCCCGUAGUAGGAGGAUUUGAGGAUGGGUCCUGGCAGAGGGUGAAGGAUCAGCGGUGCCUGUGGCCCAGAGGGGGCUCCUGGGCAGACGCUCCUCUACCAGCCUGGGUGUGGAGGAACCCCUGGGCUCCACCAGGCCAGAACCUCAACAAGGACGGGGGAAAGCCAGUUAAGACACUGUCCUCCCACACUACCUGGAGUUUCAAGUCCUAUUGAGGCAAGAGGUUGAUUUCCUGUGUCCCGGGGACCCUGCCUCAGUCUUUGGAGAACUGGGCCAGCCCAGCCCUGUCCUCCAGUUCCCAUGAUUUCCUGCCAAAUCCAACCAUCAUUCUUUUCCUUGAUCUCAGAAACCACCCCCCAUCCCUCCCUGCAGGAAACCUGGACCUGCUUUGAAGAAGAGCCAGGGGCUCCCAGGGUCCCUUCCAUCUGCACAGGAUCAUCCAGGAUCCUCAGUGGUGUUCUCCAGCUGAAGCAUCAGCCAGGGGCGCUCCAUGCCUGGCUGGCGGUCAUUUUCCUAUUGGGUAUCAGCUUGCCAGCUGCCUUAAAAUAUUUGAAGAGAAAGCCCUUUUGC
rnacentral:lncRNA from 1 species